rnacentral:rRNA from 1 species
UAAACGACUCUCGGCAACGGAUAUCUUGGCUCUCGCAUCGAUGAAGAACGUAGCGAAAUGCGAUACUUGGUGUGAAUUGCAGAAUCCCGUGAACCAUCGAGUUUUUGAACGCAAGUUGCGCCCGAAACCAUUAGGUCGAGGGCACGCCUGCCUGGGCGUCUCAC